rnacentral:rRNA from 1 species
ACACAUGCAAGUCGAGCGGUAGCACAGAGAGCUUGCUCUCGGGUGACGAGCGGCGGACGGGUGAGUAAUGUCUGGGAAACUGCCUGAUGGAGGGGGAUAACUACUGGAAACGGUAGCUAAUACCGCAUAAUGUCGCAAGACCAAAGUGGGGGACCUUCGGGCCUCAUGCCAUCAGAUGUGCCCAGAUGGGAUUAGCUAGUAGGUGGGGUAAUGGCUCACCUAGGCGACGAUCCCUAGCUGGUCUGAGAGGAUGACCAGCCACACUGGAACUGAGACACGGUCCAGACUCCUACGGGAGGCAGCAGUGGGGAAUAUUGCACAAUGGGCGCAAGCCUGAUGCAGCCAUGCCGCGUGUGUGAAGAAGGCCUUCGGGUUGUAAAGCACUUUCAGCGGGGAGGAAGGCGUUAAGGUUAAUAACCUUGUCGAUUGACGUUACCCGCAGAAGAAGCACCGGCUAACUCCGUGCCAGCAGCCGCGGUAAUACGGAGGGUGCAAGCGUUAAUCGGAAUUACUGGGCGUAAAGCGCACGCAGGCGGUCUGUCAAGUCGGAUGUGAAAUCCCCGGGCUCAACCUGGGAACUGCAUUCGAAACUGGCAGGCUAGAGUCUUGUAGAGGGGGGUAGAAUUCCAGGUGUAGCGGUGAAAUGCGUAGAGAUCUGGAGGAAUACCGGUGGCGAAGGCGGCCCCCUGGACAAAGACUGACGCUCAGGUGCGAAAGCGUGGGGAGCAAACAGGAUUAGAUACCCUGGUAGUCCACGCCGUAAACGAUGUCGAUUUGGAGGUUGUGCCCUUGAGGCGUGGCUUCCGGAGCUAACGCGUUAAAUCGACCGCCUGGGGAGUACGGCCGCAAGGUUAAAACUCAAAUGAAUUGACGGGGGCCCGCACAAGCGGUGGAGCAUGUGGUUUAAUUCGAUGCAACGCGAAGAACCUUACCUGGUCUUGACAUCCACAGAACUUUCCAGAGAUGGAUUGGUGCCUUCGGGAACUGUGAGACAGGUGCUGCAUGGCUGUCGUCAGCUCGUGUUGUGAAAUGUUGGGUUAAGUCCCGCAACGAGCGCAACCCUUAUCCUUUGUUGCCAGCGGUUAGGCCGGGAACUCAAAGGAGACUGCCAGUGAUAAACUGGAGGAAGGUGGGGAUGACGUCAAGUCAUCAUGGCCCUUACGACCAGGGCUACACACGUGCUACAAUGGCAUAUACAAAGAGAAGCGACCUCGCGAGAGCAAGCGGACCUCAUAAAGUAUGUCGUAGUCCGGAUUGGAGUCUGCAACUCGACUCCAUGAAGUCGGAAUCGCUAGUAAUCGUAGAUCAGAAUGCUACGGUGAAUACGUUCCCGGGCCUUGUACACACCGCCCGUCACACCAUGGGAGUGGGUUGCAAAAGAAGUAGGUAGCUUAACCUUCGGGAGGGCG